rnacentral:sRNA from 1 species
UAAUGUUCCCACAUCAUCAUUCACUUAUUAGGUACCCAUUUUGUAAAAAUAUAGCACCAAUCUAGAAAUGAAAACUUGAAACCAAUCUCUUUCUUUAUUCUCGGUGAGAUAUGAAACCUGAAUCCAUACUUUGGUGCAUUUUUAGGACAUUGAGUGAACAUUCAGAGGCGUGUUAAGGACUGCAAAGUAUUUGAAGGGUAAGAUAAGUGGAGGAAGCUUUUGGGAUUGAAAAAGGAAAGCACCACAAAAGGAGAAGGGUUUCAUGGAAGCCUGA